rnacentral:snoRNA from 1 species
GGCACUUGUGUGCUUUUUUCUUAACUUGUAGACUAAGGCUUAAUGUACAGGUACAGAAAUAAAUCCUCUUUUGCAACCCAGAACUCAUUAUUCAGUAUGAGUUUUGAUAAUUAUAAGAAAGAAUAUU